GACGGAAGGUGCAAGCGUUGCUCGGAAUCACUGGGCGUAAAGCGCACGUAGGCGGAUUGCUAAGUCAGGGGUGAAAUCCUGGAGCUCAACUCCAGAACUGCCCUUGAUACUGGCGGUCUCGAGUCCGGGAGAGGUGAGUGGAACUGCGAGUGUAGAGGUGAAAUUCGUAGAUAUUCGCAAGAACACCAGUGGCGAAGGCGGCUCACUGGCCCGGUACUGACGCUGAGGCGCGAAAGCGUGGGGAGCAAACAGG
rnacentral:rRNA from 1 species